AAAAGUCUUCAAUUCAAGAAGUACAAAUCGAAAAAUGGAAAGCCAAUAGCAUCAUUAGAUAGUAGAUAUGUACAUGCAUAACUGUUACAAGAAAAUAUAUCUUUAUUUGCGGCACUGAUGGAGUACAUCUUAUCUACAAUAGAAAUAAAGAUCACCUUUCAAAUAGGAUAAAGCGCACCACACUGUUCAACUGCGACCGUUUACGGAAAAGUGGAGAGUCGAGAAAGCAAAAUAAGAAAUAGUUAUAGGAAAACACGAUGUACCAUUACAGAGCCGUCUGGCAUCUUUCGUUUGACCUUGAGAUAGGUUGUUCUUAGACUUCUGGUAUUCCCUGCAACACAACGCAUUCAUACUCAACUCCGAGAGACAAGCACACCGCGUGGAAAAAUUCGAGGCAAUCCUUAGCGUGUACCGCUGCAUUCAGUGAAGGCACAAAUCUGGAGUAGCUUACUGAUUUACACAGACCACAGAAACCUACGGAAUAACUCCGGUUACCCGGCCACUAUUGCAGGAAAGAAAUGAGCGAUGACUGUGGUGGCUGCGACUCGGGGGGAGGAGGAGGCGGAGACAGCGGUGGAAGUUGCGAUUAUGGUGGAGACACCGGUGGAAGUUGUGAUUACGAUGGAUCUUGUGACGCUGGCGAGACCGUGGAGGAAUACAUGGAUUCCGACGGCGUGGUGAAGUUCAGGACUGUGCGCAGAACUGGUAAAGGCGGCAAAGGCAGCAGCACCAGAACUGGACAAAUGAUACUUCUUACCCUUGUUGUCAUCGUUGCCAUCGCAGUCAUUUUGUGGGCCUUUACAAGGUAGUUAGGUCCUGCAAACUGGAAGAUGCUCGUUUUCUAACGGUGCGUGUGUGUGUGUGUGUGUGUGUGUGUGUGUGUGUGUGUGCUUACGGUAAAAAGACUGAAUUUUUUGUUAAAUUGAGUAAACUCCAUAUGCCCUUGUUUCACUAAAUUAUCAUUACAUUUAUUUAUAUUGCUUAAGCGGACCGUUCCCUCUGGCUGCAUCAUGGAAGCCUCGUGCAUAUGGUGUUUCAUCUGCACCCCAGACAAUUAUUGGACUUGAAGGUACAGACAGAGAAACAGUCCGUCGAGCGAUUGAUUUUCCAUUUUUCUUCUUUUUACGCUGCCGAGAGGGAUCAAGUUAUUGCGUCAAGUGUUGCCUUGGUGAGGAUCUUUUUUUACAGCAAGAAUCGUUUCAAAUACAUUUUAUAUGUACUCAAUGAGAAUUGUAAUUUUUCAUAACCAGAAUGUCAUGCUUUUCGUCGUUAGACAGGGCCAUUAUACUAACCUUCUACUGUUUCUCUACUAGUGUCGUCUUGCGUCAGUGAGUGACUAUAUAUCAUAAAGUGUGGAUGUUUUUUCUCGCCUCUCUCCCCCUGAUUACUGUUAUAUUACACUAACUGUUACAAAACACUUUGUUCCAUGUAACCCGGUAAGACCUAUAGUAAUAAAGCCUUCUAAUGA